GUUGUUAUGGUGACCAGAAUGUUCCUUUAAUUUGCUUAACCCCUUAAGGACACAUGACAUGUGUGACAUGUCAUGAUUCCCUUUUAUUCCAGAAGUUUGGUCCUUAAGGGGUUAAAGGAACACUAUAGUGUGAGGAAUACAAACAUAUAUUCCUGACACCAUAGUUGUAAAAAAGCUAUUCACCCUGGCUUUAUGUAAAAAUGACUAUGUUCCUUCCCAUUCAUGAC